CAGCAUCCUCUGAUAGACCACGAGCAAUUUUCCUGUGGCUCUCUGGUUUGCACUGAGAUGCAAAAAUAACUUCCUUGUGCUUUCUGUGCCUGCCUGGCUGUGGCAGCUCAGAUGGAAUUGGGGAAUACAGAA